rnacentral:rRNA from 1 species
GACGAACGCUGGCGGCGUGCUUAACACAUGCAAGUCGAACGGAAAGGCCCUGCUUUUGUGGGGUGCUCGAGUGGCGAACGGGUGCGUAACACUUGAGUAAACUGCACUUGACUUUGGGAUAACUUCAGGACACUGGGGCUAAUACCGGAUAGGAGCUCCUGCUGCAUGGUUGAGGUGGGAAAGAUUCGGCGGUUGGGGAUGGACUUGUGGCGGAGCAGCUGGUUGGCGGGGUAGUGGCUUACCAGGGCUUCAAGGGGUAGCUGGCCUGAGAGGGUGACCGGCACCAUUGGGACUGAGCUACGGCCGGGAGCCCUACGGGAGGCUGCAGUGGGGAAGAUUGCACGAUGGGCGGAAGCCGGAUGCAGCAACGCGGCGUGCUGGAUGAUGGCCUGCGGGUUGGAAACCGCUUUCGCCUGUGACGAACCGUGAGUGACGGUAAUGGGUAAAGAAGCACCGGCUAACUACGUG